rnacentral:rRNA from 1 species
GAUGAACGCUGGCGGCGUGCCUAAUACAUGCAAGUCGAGCGAACAGACGAGUAGCUUGCUCCUCUGAUGUUAGCGGCGGACGGGUGAGUAACACGUGGAUAACCUACCUAUAAGACUGGGAUAACUUCGGGAAACCGGAGCUAAUACCGGAUAAUAUUUUGAACCGCAUGGUUCAAAAGUAAAAGACGGUCUUGCUGUCACUUAUAGAUGGAUCCGCGCUGCAUUAGCUAGUUGGUAAGGUAACGGCUUACCAAGGCAACGAUGCGUAGCCGACCUGAGAGGGUGAUCGGCCACACUGGAACUGAGACACGGUCCAGACUCCUACGGGAGGCAGCAGUAGGGAAUCUUCCGCAAUGGGCGAAAGCCUGACGGAGCAACGCCGCGUGAGUGAUGAAGGUCUUCGGAUCGUAAAACUCUGUUAUUAGGGAAGAACAUAUGUGUAAGUAACUAUGCACGUCUUGACGGUACCUAAUCAGAAAGCCACGGCUAACUACGUG